AGUCAGGACCAAAGAAGACUUAAGCUGACAUCUCACGGCAUGGCUUGUCAGCCCUCUCAUUUUACAGGUGGCAGAGCAGAGGCCAGAGGGAUUGAAUAGCAAAAAGCCACCCAGACCUCCCCAGCGGGAGGGUUGCACAGCAGGAUGUAAGGAGGAGUAGCGAGGGCAUGAGAACCUAACCUGAGCAUUCAGACCUCACCUGAGGAUCCACUCUCUCUGUACCACCUGUCAUAAACAACUCCGCCUUAAUUGCUUGUGGUGGAAGUAGAGUACGUAGGCCAGGGAAGACUGGUGAAGAGGACUCCAUCUGUGUAGCUACAGGAAAGCCCUCAUCUCUCCUGGAUAAAGGUCUUCCAGGUGUGGUCUAUAGAAGAGGCCUACGUACAGCCCUGUAGGUAACCUCUCACCUAUGUUCUGUAAAGAAGCCCAAUAGACAUCAAUUCCUUGAAAUGAACAUUAGAAUUGUGCCUCCGUU